AGCGAACGCUGGCGGCAGGCCUAACACAUGCAAGUCGAACGAACUCUUCGGAGUUAGUGGCGGACGGGUGAGUAACACGUGGGAACGUGCCUUUAGGUUCGGAAUAACUCAGGGAAACUUGUGCUAAUACCGAAUGUGCCCUUCGGGGGAAAGAUUUAUCGCCUUUAGAGCGGCCCGCGUCUGAUUAGCUAGUUGGUGAGGUAAAGGCUCACCAAGGCGACGAUCAGUAGCUGGUCUGAGAGGAUGAUCAGCCACAUCGGGACUGAGACACGGCCCAGACUCCUACGGGAGGCAGCAGUGGGGAAUCUUGCGCAAUGGGCGAAAGCCUGACGCAGCCAUGCCGCGUGAAUGAUGAAGGUCUUAGGAUUGUAAAAUUCUUUCACCGGGGACGAUAAUGACGGUACCCGGAGAAGAAGCCCCGGCUAACUUCGUGCCAGCAGCCGCGGUAA
rnacentral:rRNA from 1 species